rnacentral:snoRNA from 1 species
AUAGAUUGGAGUUGAUGACAGUCGACUUGACAAGGACUUCCCUUCCAACCCGGAAUUCUCGAUCCUAUCUUGUCCACCACCGGUUGCAAAUCAACCUUCCUCAAUUUUCUGGUAUGAAGAGGCAGACCUAGAUAUUUACAAGGGAAUGAUUUUUAUUUCCAGGAAAGACGACAGGAUUCCAUCAAGGUCCAACUCUGAACAAGAAAU